AUGUGGGCUGGAGGAGGAGGAUGCUCUGAUGAGGUUCAGGACAUGAUUAUCAUGUUAGUAUGGCACAUUUGGCAGCUAAGGAACGACCAAACUCAUGGCAAGGAGGUACCGCCAGUUUCUGCUACGGUGGACUUCCUGGAUAGUUAUUAUAAGUCCAUUAAGCUAGUUGGUCGGUUUUCGAUGGACGUAAUUUUUAAAGGAAAAAUGCCAUCUUCGUCGAUUCCAACAGUUCUUGCCAGGAAGGAAACUAUACCCCUGCCUUGGAUGGCGUCGAGUCCGGAUUAUGUUGCACUGACGGUCGAUGGUUCAUUCCAAGCAGCAGAUAGCUCGGCGGCCGCCGGAAUGGUGUUGCGAGAUCAUGAAGGACAGAUCAUUUUCGCAGCAUACCGAGUCCUAUUCCACUGUAACGACGCCCUGGAAGCUGAAAUACAUGCGCUCAUGCAAGGUAUGGCUUUGGCUAUCCAACAGUCGGAUCUCCCAGUCGUCGUCCAGUCGGAUUCUUCUGAAGCCUUAGCGAGCCUCUCGAGCAAUGCUUUAACUUUCUCAGCUUAUGGUCACUUGGUUCUAGAGAUUAAGGAGUUGAUGAGUGUUAGGGAGUUUGUACCUCUGAAGAUCUAUCACUCUCAUAAUAGAGUUGCCGAUCCGUUGGCCAAUUAUAGUCGCUCCGAGCGAGCUACAGCGGUGUGGUUGCGAGAAUCUUAA
rnacentral:rRNA from 1 species